ACGGGCCAUUCCCGGCCAGGAAACGCCGUGGCGCCGCGUUGGGCCUAACUCGAGUCCUGCCGCCUCCCGGGAGUGCCGUGCGCCGCAGCCCGGGCCCAGGCCCCGGCAGCGCCUGGGACAAGGUCUUCAGAACUACUAGCAGAUAAUUUGGGGGGACUUCAUAUUCAGAAGUCUAUAUAAAGGAUUCCUCAUGUCCAUAACAUGUUGGAUGAGGCUCUGCAGCUCACCCCCACUCUCAGAGUGGUCAGUCUCCAUUAAUUGGACCCCGUGAUUUCCAGUCUCUGCUGUGUUGGACGUCAUGAGCAUUGCAAUCCCUCUGGGAGUCACCACACCAGAUACAUCCUACUCAGAUAUGGCUGCUGGAUCAGAGUAAGUGCUACUUUCUAGGUAGUAGGUACAUUACCAGUCUGUGUGGAGACAACUUUCUUAUGGAUAGCUAAUAAGAUAAUAUGUAGUAUUUUCUUAGCCAGGUCCUAUCCCACUGUAAUUAACAUUAGACCUUUCCCUUUACCCCCAUUGAAGCUGGUGGAAAAAAGGAAUUAGAAGGGGAAGGAAGAGUUUUCAGAGGGGUAUUUCUGGGCAAAUAAUUAAUAGAACCAAAGUUGCAAAGUAGGAAUUCAUUUUCAUUUGUUUUAAUGGGUGGAGAAAAUUGGAAUAAAGUAGGUGUUACUACCUGCUUCUAUAG
rnacentral:sRNA from 1 species